rnacentral:rRNA from 1 species
CCUACGGGUGGCAGCAGUGAGGAAUAUUGGACAAUGGGCGAGAGCCUGAACCAGCCAAGUCGCGUGAGGGAGUACUGCCCUAUGGGUUGUAAACCUCUUUUGUCGGGGAGCAAAAGCCGGACGUGUCCGGCUGUGAGAGUACCCGAAGAAAAAGCAUCCGCUAACUCCGUGCCAGCCGCCGGGGUAAUACGGAGGAUGCCAGCGUUUUCCGGAUUUAUUGGGUUUAAGGGGUGCGCAGGCGGAUUGUUAAGUCAGCGGUAAAAUCGUGGGGCUCAACCCCAUCCAGCCGUUGAAACUGGGGGUCUAGAGUGUGCGAGAGGUAUGCGGAAUGCGUGGUGUAGCGGUGAAAUGCAUAGAUAUCACGCAGAACCCCGAUUGCGAAGGCAGCAUACCGGUGCACAACUGACGCUCAGGCACGAAAGCGUGGGUAUCGAACAGGAUUAGAUACCCUAGUAGUC